rnacentral:rRNA from 1 species
CAGUAGCCGCGGUAAUACGAAGGGUGCAAGCGUUACUCGGAAUUACUGGGCGUAAAGCGUGCGUAGGUGGUGGGUUAAGUCCGUUGUGAAAGCCCUGGGCUCAACCUGGGAAUUGCAGUGGAUACUGGGUCACUAGAGUGUGGUAGAGGAUAGUGGAAUUUCCGGUGUAGCAGUGAAAUGCGUAGAGAUCGGAAGGAACAUCUGUGGCGAAGGCGACUAUCUGGGCCAACACUGACACUGAGGCACGAAAGCGUGGGGAGCAAACAGGAUUAGAUACCCCGGUAGUCCCUGUCUCUUAUAC